AUUGAACGCUGGCGGCAUGCUUUACACAUGCAAGUCGAACGGUAACAGGGAGCUUGCUCCGCUGACGAGUGGCGAACGGGUGAGUAAUGCAUCGGAACGUACCCAGUCGUGGGGGAUAACGUAGCGAAAGUUACGCUAAUACCGCAUACGUCCUGAGGGAGAAAGCGGGGGACCGUAAGGCCUCGCGCGAUUGGAGCGGCCGAUGUCGGAUUAGCUAGUUGGUAGGGUAAAGGCCUACCAAGGCGACGAUCCGUAGCGGGUCUGAGAGGAUGAUCCGCCACACUGGGACUGAGACACGGCCCAGACUCCUACGGGAGGCAGCAGUGGGGAAUUUUGGACAAUGGGCGAAAGCCUGAUCCAGCCAUGCCGCGUGAGUGAAGAAGGCCUCGGUUGUAAG
rnacentral:rRNA from 1 species